rnacentral:tRNA from 1 species
CGCCUACUGGCUCGGGGGCGAGCGGGCCCUCGUCUUUGUCGCACUCGGCCUGCCGCUGUUCUACGCGACGGUGGGCGCC